rnacentral:rRNA from 1 species
GACGAACGCUGGCGGCGUGCUUAACACAUGCAAGUCGAACGGAAAGGCCCUGCUUUUGUGGGGUGCUCGAGUGGCGAACGGGUGAGUAACACGUGAGUAACCUGCCCUUGACUUUGGGAUAACUUCAGGAAACUGGGGCUAAUACCGGAUAGGAGCUCCUGCUGCAUGGUGGGGGUUGGAAAGUUUCGGCGGUUGGGGAUGGACUCGCGGCUUAUCAGCUUGUUGGUGGGGUAGUGGCUUACCAAGGCUUUGACGGGUAGCCGGCCUGAGAGGGUGACCGGCCACAUUGGGACUGAGAUACGGCCCAGACUCCUACGGGAGGCAGCAGUGGGGAAUAUUGCACAAUGGGCGGAAGCCGGAUGCAGCAACGCCGCGUGCGGGAGGAGGGCCUUCGGGUUGUAAACCGCUUUCGCCUGUGACGAAGCGUGAGUGACGGUAAUGGGUAAAGAAGCACCGGCUAACUACGU